rnacentral:rRNA from 1 species
GGAGCAAUCUUGUGAGUAAAGUGGCGUACGGGUGAGUAACACGUGGAUCAUCUACCCUUUUGUGGGGGAUAACUCUGGGAAACCGGAGCUAAUACCGCAUAAGUCCGAGAGGAGAAAGCAGCAAUGCGCAGGAGGAGGAGUCCGCGGCCGAUUAGUUAGUUGGCAGGGUAAAAGCCUACCAAGACAAAGAUCGGUAGCCGGCCUGAGAGGGCACACGGCCACACUGGCACUGAAACACGGGCCAGACUCCUACGGGAGGCAGCAGUGGGGAAUCUUGCACAAUGGGGGCAACCCUGAUGCAGCGACGCCGCGUGAGCGAUGAAGCCCUUCGGGGUGUAAAGCUCUUUCGGCAGGGAAGAUUAUGACGGUACCUGCAGAAGCAGCUGCGGCUAACUACGUGCCAGCAGCCGCGGUAAUACGUAGGCAGCAAGCGUUGUUCGGAGUUACUGGGCGUAAAGGGUGUGUAGGCGGUUCUCUAAGUCUGGUGUGAAAUCUCCCGGCUCAACUGGGAGGGUGCGCCGGAAACUGGGGGGCUAGAGUGCGGGAUGGGUAAGUGGAAUUCCUGGUGUAGCGGUGAAAUGCGUAGAUAUCAGGAGGAACACCUGUGGUGUAGACGGCUUACUGGACCGCAACUGACGCUGAGACACGAAAGUGUGGGUAGCAAACAGGAUUAGAUACCCUGGUAGUCCACGCCCUAAACGAUGCAUAUUUGGUGUGGGCCAUUCAUUUGGUCUGUGCCGGAGCUAACGCGUUAAAUAUGCCGCCUGGGG